GAUGAACGCUAGCGGGAGGCUUAACACAUGCAAGUCGAGGGGUAAAUGGUAGCAAUACUAUGAGACCGGCGGACGGGUGCGUAACGCGUAUGCAACAUACCUUUAGCAGGGGGAUAGCCCGUGGAAACGCGGAUUAAUAUUCCAUAGUCCAGCAGUAUCGCAUGGUACCACUGGUAAAGAUUAAUCGGCUAAAGAUUGGCAUGCGUCUGAUUAGUUAGUUGGUAGGGUAACGGCCUACCAAGGCGACGAUCAGUAGGGGUUCUGAGAGGAUUACCCCCCACACUGGUACUGAGACACGGACCAGACUCCUACGGGAGGCAGCAGUGAGGAAUAUUGGUCAAUGGGCGGAAGCCUGAACCAGCCAUCCCGCGUGAAGGAAGACAGCCUUACGGGUUGUAAACUUCUUUUCUGUUUGAAGAAUAAGCCCGUUGAGACGGGUGAUGCCGGUAGGACAGGAAUAAGCAUCGGCUAACUCCGUG
rnacentral:rRNA from 1 species